UUUAGGAGAAGUCUUAUUGUGAGGGCGAGUUAUAUAACACCAUAGGACUGGCCGUCCCAUAUGAAAAGAUUAUAUUAGAAUUGAAUGAAGCUUUGUUUAUAUAUUGAUAAUGACAGUAUAUAUAUCGUGUCUUGACUAAUUGCGUGCCAGCAGUCGCGGUAAUACGUAAGAGACUAGUGUUAUUCAUCUUAAUUAGGUUUAAAGGGUACCCAGACGGUCAAUAUAGCUUAUAAAAUGUUAGUACUUGACUAGAGUUUUAUGUAAGAGGGCAGUACUUGAGGAGGAGAGAUGAAAUUUCGUGAUACCAAAGGGACUCUGUAAAGGCGAAGGCAGCCCUCUAUGUAAAAACUGACGUUGAAGGACGAAGGCACAGAGAACAAACAGGAUUAGAUACCCAAGUAGUCUUUGCAGUAAAUGAUGAAUGCCAUAGGUUAGAUUGAUCAAUUAUAGUCUAGGGUUAGUCUAGCAAACUAAUGCCCUAUGAUAUAAUUCAAAAUAUCUGGUCUAUAAAUGAAAGUGUAAGCAUUUCACCUCAAGAGUAAUGUGGCAACGC
rnacentral:rRNA from 1 species